UGCAAGUCGAGCGGACAGAAGGGAGCUUGCUCCCGGAUGUUAGCGGCGGACGGGUGAGUAACACGUGGGUAACCUGCCUGUAGAACUGGGAUAACUCCGGGAAACCGGAGCUAAUACCGGAUAGUUCCUUGAACCGCAUGGUUCAAGGAUGAAAGACGGUUUCGGCUGUCACUUACAGAUGGACCCGCGGCGCAUUAGCUAGUUGGUGGGGUAAUGGCUCACCAAGGCGACGAUGCGUAGCCGACCUGAGAGGGUGAUCGGCCACACUGGGACUGAGACACGGCCCAAACUCCUACGGGAGGCAGCAGUAGGGAAUCUUCCGCAAUGGACGAAAGUCUGACGGACCAACGCCGCGUGAGUGAUGAAGGUUUUCGGAUCGUAAAGCUCUGUUGUUAGGGAAGAACAAGUGCGAGAGUAACUGCUCGCACCUUGACGGUACCUAACCAGAAAGCCACGGCUAACUACGUGCCACCAGCCGCGGUAAUACGUAGGUGGCAAGCGUUGUCCGGAAUUAUUGGGCGUAAAGGGCUCGCAGGCGGUUUCUUAAGUCUGAUGUGAAAGCCCCCGGCUCAACCGGGGAGGGUCAUUGGAAACUGGGAAACUUGAGUGCAGAAGAGGAGAGUGGAAUUCCACGUGUAGCGGUGAAAUGCGUAGAGAUGUGGAGGAACACCAGUGGCGAAGGCGACUCUCUGGUCUGUAACUGACGCUGAGGAGCGAAAGCGUGGGGAGCGAACAGGAUUAGAUACCCUGGUAGUCCACGCCGUAAACGAUGAGUGCUAAGUGUUAGGGGGUUUCCGCCCCUUAGUGCUGCAGCUAACGCAUUAAGCACUCCGCCUGGGGAGUACGGUCGCAAGACUGAAACUCAAAGGAAUUGACGGGGGCCCGCACAAGCGGUGGAGCAUGUGGUUUAAUUCGAAGCAACGCGAAGAACCUUACCAGGUCUUGACAUCCUCUGACAACCCUAGAGAUAGGGCUUUCCCUUCGGGGACAGAGUGACAGGUGGUGCAUGGUUGUCGUCAGCUCGUGUCGUGAGAUGUUGGGUUAAGUCCCGCAACGAGCGCAACCCUUGAUCUUAGUUGCCAGCAUUUAGUUGGGCACUCUAAGGUGACUGCCGGUGACAAACCGGAGGAAGGUGGGGAUGACGUCAAAUCAUCAUGCCCCUUAUGACCUGGGCUACACACGUGCUACAAUGGACAGAACAAAGGGCUGCGAGACCGCAAGGUUUAGCCAAUCCCAUAAAUCUGUUCUCAGUUCGGAUCGCAGUCUGCAACUCGACUGCGUGAAGCUGGAAUCGCUAGUAAUCGCGGAUCAGCAUGCCGCGGUGAAUACGUUCCCGGGCCUUGUACACACCGCCCGUCACACCACGAGAGUUUGCAACACCCGAAGUCGGUGAGGUAACCUUUAUGGAGCCAGCCGCCGAAG
rnacentral:rRNA from 1 species